rnacentral:rRNA from 1 species
GAUGAACGCUGGCGGCGUGCCUAAUACAUGCAAGUCGAACGCAUAGCGAAAGGUGCUGCCACCUUUCAAGUGAGUGGCGAACGGGUGAGAAACACGUGGUCAACCUGCCUCAAGGCUGGGGUUAAUAUUUGGAAACAGAGGCUAAUACCGAAUAAAACUUAGUGUCGCAUGACACAAAGUGAAAAGGCGCUUCGGCGUCACCUAGAGAUGGAUCCGCGCUGCAUUAGUUAGUUGGUGGGGUAAAGGCCUACCAAGACAAUGAUGCAUAGCCGAGUUGAGAGAGUGAUCGGCCACAUUGGGACUGAGACACGGCCCAAACUCCUACGGGAGGCUGCAGUAGGGAAUCUUCCACAAUGGGCGAAAGCCUGAUGGAGCAACGCCGCGUGUGUGAUGAAGGCUUUCGGGUCGUAAAGCACUGUUGUAUGGGAAGAACAGCUAGAAUAGGAAAUGAUUUUAGUUUGACGGUACCAUACCAGAAGGGGACGGCUAAAUACGUG